rnacentral:rRNA from 1 species
GCUUAGAAGCAGCCACUCAUUUAAAGAGUGCGUAAUAGCUCACUGGUCGAGUGAUGAUGCGCCGAAGAUGUCCGGGGCUAAAACACACCACCGAAGCUUCGGGUUCGCUGUAAAGCGAGCGGUAGAGGAGCAUAGUGUGCUGGCAGAAGCGGUAUCGAGAGACGCCGUGGACGGCACAGUAGAGAGAAUGCCGGUAUGAGUAACGAGAUGCAGGCGAGAAACCUGCAGGUCGAAAGCCCAAGGUUUCCUGGGGAAGGUUCAUCCGCCCAGGGUAAGUCGGGGCCUAAGCCGAGGACGAUAGUCGUAGGCGAUGGACAACUGGUGGAGAUUCCAGUACCACCUUCAAGAGCGAAGCGUUGACACAGAAGGAUAGCAUGAGCCGGUUGAUGGUAGAGCCGGUCCAAGCGGUUAGGCUGGUAUGUAGUGAAGUACGCAUACCGAAAGGCGGAGCCGUGAUGGGGAGCGAAAAACAAGUAGUGAAGCAUGUGAAUCCAGGCUGGCAAGAAAAGGCGCUAGUAAUGUUGAGGGUGCCCGUACCGCAAACCGACGCAGGUGGGCGAGGAGAGAAUCCUAAGACGAACGGGAGAACCCUUGUUAAGGAACUCGGCAAAAUGACCCCGUAACUUCGGGAGAAGGGGUGCCUCGAAAGAGGCCGCAGAGAAUAGUCACAAGCGACUGUUUAGCAAAAACACAGGUAUCUGCGAAAGCGAGAGCUGACGUAUAGGUGCUGACACCUGCCCGGUGCUGGAAGGUUAAGGGGACAUGUUAGCGAAAGCGAAGCAUCGAACCGAAGCCCCAGUAAACGGCGGCCGUAACUAUAACGGUCCUAAGGUAGCGAAAUUCCUUGUCGGGUAAGUUCCGACCCGCACGAAUGGUGUAACGAUUUGAGCGCUGUCUCAACAGGGGGCCCGGUGAAAUUGAAGUAUGGGUGAAGAUGCCCAUUACCCGCGACUGGACGGAAAGACCCCGUAGAGCUUUACUGUAGCCUGAUAUUGGAUUUCGGUAACGGAUGCACAGGAUAGGUGGGAGGCAAGGAAGGCAGGACUCCGGUCUUGGUGGAGCCACCGUUGGGAUACCACUCUUCUGUUGCUGGAAUUCUAACAUGGCGCCGUGAAACCGGUGAAUGGACAGUGUCAGGUGGGCAGUUUGACUGGGGCGGUCGCCUCCGAAAGAGUAACGGAGGCGCCCAAAGGUACCCUCAGAAUGGAUGGAAACCAUUCAAAGAGUGUAAAGGCAGAAGGGUGCUUGACUGUGAGAGUGACAACUCGAUCAGAUACGAAAGUAGGGCUUAGUGAUCCGGCGGUAUUGAGUGGAAAAGCCGUCGCUUAACGGAUAAAAGCUACCUCGGGGAUAACAGGCUGAUCUCCCCCAAGAGUCCACAUCGACGGGGAGGUUUGGCACCUCGAUGUCGGCUCGUCGCAUCCUGGGGCUGAAGCAGGUCCCAAGGGUUUGGCUGUUCGCCAAUUAAAGCGGCACGCGAGCUGGGUUCAGAACGUCGUGAGACAGUUCGGUCCCUAUCCAUCGUGGGCGUAGGAAUCAUGAGAGGAGCUGUUCCUAGUACGAGAGGACCGGAAUGGACGCACCACUGGUGCAACUGUUGUCGUGCCAACGGCAUAGCAGGGAAGCGAAGUGCGGAUGGGAUAAACGCUGAAGGCAUCUAAGCGUGAAGCCCACCUCGAGAAUAAGAUUCCAGGCAGCAAUGCGAGAGACCCCUGGAAGACUACCAGGUGAUAGGUCGUCGGUGGAAGCGCAGUAAUGUGUGUAGCUUGACGAUACUAAUCGGUCGAUAGCUUGAUUUA